rnacentral:rRNA from 1 species
UGGGGAAUUUUGCACAAUGGGGGAAACCCUGAUGCAGCGACGCCGCGUGAUUUAGAAGGCCUUCGGGUUGUAAAAAUCUUUUUUAUGGGAUGAAAAUGACAGUACCAUAAGAAUAAGGUCCGGCUAAAUACGUGCCAGCAGCCGCGGUAAUACGUAUGGACCGAGCGUUGUCCGGAAUCAUUGGGCGUAAAGGGUACGUAGGCGGCCCAGUAAGUUAGAAGUGAAAUAAUAUAGCUCAACUAUAUAAAGCUUUUAAAACUGCUAGGCUUGAGAGAUGGAAGGGAAAGUGGAAUUCCUAGUGUAGCGGUGAAAUGCGCAGAUAUUAGGAAGAAUACCGGUGGCGAAGGCGACUUACUGGGCUCAUUCUGACGCUGAGGAACGAAAGCGUGGGUAGCAAACAGG